UCUUUGCGGCUCUCAUCUGUAAAGUAUGUAUCAAUACUUUACAUUAUGAUGAUCAGGAAUAAAUCCAAAUGACUUGAAAGUACCUAAGAUAAUUGAUGAAAAGGUUAUGCAACCAGGGGGAAAAUAUAAUAAGUUAAUAGGUACCUAGAGAUCAGGAGUUUGAACUACCAAGCUUCAGAUUCUCAGUCCUGUGACCUUGGCCAGGUUGUGUAACUUCUUAAAUCACUGCUUUUUUUAUUAGUAAAAAUGAGGAUCAUAAUAGUACCAUGUCAUAGACUUGUCAUGGUUAUUGUGAAGAUUGACCACCAUUAUGUUGUAAUAUAAUAAGAAAUAUAUAUUUAGUCUCUGCCAUUUGAUCCCGGCACACAGCUCCUAAAUCCCUUGAAAUCCCUUAAGUGGUAAGUGUCUUUUUGUAUGCUAAUGACAUGACUGGUGGCCCGGGCUCUCAGCCUUAGGAGUGGGGGUGCUGGUUGCCAGGGAUACCAACCAUGUGAUUAGAGCCUUGGGGCUUUCAACCUCACCCCUCAACUUUUAGAUAGGGGAAAGAAGCUGAAGGUUAGGUUGAUCUUCACUGGUCAAUGAUUCAAUGAAUCGUGCCUAUGCAAUGAAGCCUUCAUAAAAACCCAGAAUGACUCAGCUUGGGGAGCUUCUGGAUAGCUGAACAUGUGCAGAUGCCUGAAGCCUGGCUCGCCCAAAAGGGCAUGAAAGCUCUACGCCCCUCCCCUGCACCUUGACCAAUUCAUCUCUUCCAUCCAGCAGUCCAUCUGUAUCCUUUGAAUAUCCUUUAUAAUAAGUGGGUAAAUAGACAGGAUCUUGCCAUGUUGCCCGGGCUAGUCUCAAACUCCUGGGCUAAAGUGAUCCUCCCACCUCAGCCCCCCAAAGCGCUGGGAUUACUACAGAGAAGAUUUGUGAAGCUGUGUGACCUGCCUCCUUGCAACUGCCAGAGCUGCUCAAAGCUCCAAGAUUCCCUGCUGGGCAGCCACAUACCUGCCAAAGCAUUGUGUUCAAGGCUCUCAAGAAACCAGCCAUGAAAAGCUUCCCACUUCAGGAAAAAUCCCUUGCUUGACUUAUUCAGAGAUCAUGGAGGCCAAUACAACUGCAGACCAGAGAAAAAAAAUCUGGCUUUGUUGCUGUUAAAACUCAAUUCAAAGACUCAGGCUCCUUGAGAUCCCUGCAGGGUGAUUUUACUAUUUUCCCAGAGGUAACCCAAUUGGAGUCUAUCUGACUGUGCCAGUCCAGAUAUUCAUAUUUUGUCUUUUUCCUCUGUCUUAUCACUGGGGGAAACAGCUUGGAAUUUAGGUUCAUGAAUACAACCUCCUUACUGUUUUGCUUUUUUUCCCUAGUGUCUCAAAUCUUUUCCUGCUUCCCAUCCUCUCCUCAGUUGUCAGUGUGAUUUUCCUACAUUUGGAUGGAUGUUUUCUUCCUAUUUCCCAUACACAGCACUUGGCCAAGAACAUAAAGGGGAGAUGUGGGCUACUGGGCCUGGGGGAAAAACUAUAACAUGUAGUUCCUCUUGCUCAAACUUUAGGGCUCUGUAAUACCAACCUUCUUCAUUCCAUUAGGCAAAGCUCUAAGCCUAUUUUCAGUUUCAGCUCAACCUCAAUUUCCACCAUGGUUUUCCCAGGAAAACUGUGCCUUCCAGCCUGCUCCUCACACUUUGUGCAAACCUCCCUUGCCCUUCAGCAACCCCUGCAUUGUCAUUGCUCUUUGCCUGCACGUUUUCUCACAGCAGUAUAUGCUCUGUGGGGGCAAGGAUUUGCUUGCGUUUGCUUCUUGAUAUUUCCAGAGCCAAGCACAUUCUAGGCGGUUUAUUAAAGCUUGUUGGAUGAAUGAGUCAAA